CCCUUAGAUGUCCGGGGCUGCACGCGCGCUACACUGUAGAAAGCAGCGUGCUUUAAAACCUUUCCUGAAAAGGAUGGGUAACCCCAGCAAAAUUCUACGUGCUUGGGAUAGUGAUUUGCAAUUUUCUCUCUUGAACGAGGAAUUCCCAGUAAGUGCGAGUCAUCAGCUCGCGUUGAUUACGUCCCUGCCCUUUGUACACACCGCCCGUCGCUACUACCGAUUGGGAAAAUUUUAGAGAGUCCUGGACUGAUGAUUGUUCGGCUUCACGGCCUUACUUUCGUCGGGAAAGAAUUCGAUAAUAUUUUUCUAGAGGAAGUAAAAGUCGUAACA
rnacentral:rRNA from 1 species